rnacentral:rRNA from 1 species
GGCUAAUACCGCAUACGCUUUGAGAAGGAAAGCAGGGGAUCUUCGGACCUUGCGUUAUUCGAGCGGCCAAUAACUGAUUAGCUAGUUGGUGGGGUAAGGGCCCACCAAGGCUACGAUCAGUAGUGGGUCUGAGAGGAUGAUCCGCCACACUGGGACUGAGACACGGCCCAGACUCCUACGGGAGGCAGCAGUGGGGAAUUUUGGACAAUGGGCGAAAGCCUGAUCCAGCCAUGCCGCGUGUCUGAAGAAGGCCUUCGGGUUGUAAAGGACUUUUGUUAGGGAAGAAAAGGUUGAUGCUAAUAUCAUUAACUGAUGACGGUACCUAAAGAAUAAGCACCGGCUAACUACGUGCCAGCAGCCGCGGUAAUACGU